UAGUUCUCGACGUAUGAGAUUGAACACAGCGCCAUGACGGACGACGGUUUUGCACAAAGACGGCUCUUCUAAUUCGGAAAAUCGAUCACUUGAGGAUCUAAGAGCUGGUAGGAAGAAGAGUCCACAAGCAGGCAAAGGAGAUUCUAGUCGUAAUGUAAUCUAACUUUUCACAGUAAAGACUUGGGCUACAGAACAGGAUCAAGUCUGAAAUAGCAUCAGCAACAAUUUUUAAUUGCUAUUAGUGAAGUACUCUCUACUAGUCAUUAGUCAAGCAUUUAUCAAUUGAAUUUAUAAUGAUGGAGCAACUGCGAAAUCUGGCAAGGCAAUGCCAAAUUUAUUUAUUGCUGAUAACACUGUUGUUAGAGAUAGACAAAUAUUAUUCAUAGCUUGCAUGUUGAUGACUUGCAUUUUUGACUUUUUGGUUGUGGAGUUGUGUGAAAACCAUUUCAAUAUAUUUCAUUCACACUCAAUUGCGCAUGUUUAUCAACGUGUGUUGUGCAUAUUAUUAUUAAUACUAUUUUUAGAAUGUUGUAUUGUUUAUAUUAAUAUUUGGUAACGUGCGUUAUUCAGAAUGGCGGGUAGACAAUAC